ACGCCGAAUGGUAAAACUAUAAUAAUUUCAUCAUAACAACAAAAAAGAGUUAUAAUGUAGGAGUUAUGCUAUAAU
rnacentral:sRNA from 1 species